rfam:Populus trichocarpa isolate Nisqually-1 chromosome 13, whole genome shotgun sequence.
UCUAAAACUCGAGAUAUGGGCUAAAUACUGAACAGUGUCUAGGCUGCAGGACAUAUUUCGACUUCUCCGUUGUUACUACAAUUUGAACUUAAAAAUGACCUUUUUUAAUCUUGGACUCUCAUGAAAGUUUUAGGCCUGUGUUUUAGCUUUCCAUA